rnacentral:rRNA from 1 species
GAAGGUUGAUCUGGCUCACAUAACGCUGGUCGCCGGCCUAACACAUGCCAGUCGAGCGAGCACAAACGUUCUUGGUUGGACCGGCGGACGGAUGAGUAACGCGUGGUAAUCACUGGUAGUAGGGGGACAACAGCCGGAAACUAUGAACGUAUACGCCCUGACAUACCCAGACCCCGCGUCGGAUUAGCUUGUUGGUGAGGUAAAGGCUCACCAAGGCGAUGAUCCGUAGCUGGUCUGAGAGGAUGAUCCUCCACACUGGAACUGGAACACGGUCCAGACUCCUACGGGAGGCAGCACUGUGGAAUAUUGGGCAAUGGGCGCAAGCCUGACCCAGCAACGCCGUGUGAGGGAGGUUCGUCGACCUCUGUCACAAGGGCGAAUACCCCUUCAAAGGAAUCACGGGCAACUCCGUGCCAGCAGCCGCGGUAAUACGGAGGGUGCGAGCGUUAUUCGGAAUCACUGGGCGUAAAGGGCGCGUAGGCGGCUGGUAAAGUCAGGGGUGAAAUCNCACGGGUCAACCGUGGAAUUGCCUUUGAAACUGCUGGGCUUGGAUCCUGGAGAGGGUGGCGGAAUUCCUGGUGUAGGAGUGAAAUCCGUAGAUAUCAGGAGGAACACCGGUGGCGAAGGCGGCCGCCUGGACAGUAUCGACGNUGAGGCGCGAAAGUGUGGGGAGCAAACAGGAUUAGAUACCCUGGUAGUCCACACCGUAAACGAUGGAUACUAGGUGUUGGGGGCAUGACCCUCAGUGCCGGAGCUAACGCGUUAAGUAUCCCGCCUGGGGAGUACGGUCGCAAGGCUGAAACUCAAAGAAAUUGACGGGGGCCCGCACAAGCGGUGGAGUAUGUGGUUUAAUUCGAUGCAACGCGAAGAACCUUACCUGGGCACAUCCUGGGAAUCCUGCAGAGAUGCGGGAGUUGCCCAGGAAGGUGCUGCAUGGCUGUCGUCAGCUCGUGCCGUGAGGUGUUGGGUUAAGUCCCGCAACGAGCGCAACCCUUGUUCCUAGUUGCCAUCAGGUGAAGCUGGGCACUCUAGGGAGACUGCCCGGGUCAACCGGGAGGAAGGUGGGGACGACGUCAAGUCAUCAUGGCCCUUUCGCCCAGGGUUACACCCGUAUUACAAUGGCGAGUACAAAGGGCAGCGAUACCGUGAGUUGGAGUGUUCCCAAAAAUCUCGUAGUAGUCCGGAUCGCUGUUUGCAAUUCGAUCGCAUGAAUGUGGGAUCGACAACGGCCCUUCACCUUCCUUCGCCUGCCUC